rnacentral:rRNA from 1 species
UGUAGUGGGGAUAACUUACUACGAAAGAGUGGCUAAUACCGCAUACGAUCUAACGGAUAGAAAGUGGGGGACCGUAAGGCCUCGCGCGAUUGGAGCGGCCGAUAUCAGAUUAGGUAGUUGGUGGGGUAAAGGCCCACCAAGGCGACGAUCUGUAGCUGGUCUGAGAGGACGACCAGCCACACUGGAACUGAGACACGGUCCAGACUCCUACGGGAGGCAGCAGUGGGGAAUUUUUGGACAAUGGACGCAAGUCUGAUCCAGCCAUUCCGCGUGCAGGACGAAGGCCUUCGGGUUGUAAACUGCUUUUUGUACAGAACGAAAAAGGUCUCUAUUAAUACUAGGGGCUCAUGACGGUACUGUAAGAAUAAGCACCGGCUAACUACGUG